rnacentral:pre_miRNA from 19 species
ACAGGGCAGUUGGGGCUCGUGCCAGAUGCGCGUUUACACGGGCCCUGAAUACUGUAAAUGCACUAUCUGGUACGACAUCUCUCCUGUCACCGCCAC